CACGUAGGGGGCGAGCGUUGUUCGGAAUCAUUGGGCGUAAAGGGCGUGCAGGCGGUCCUGCAAGUCCGGCGUGAAAGACCCCGGCCCAACCGGGGGGGCGCGCUGGAAACUGGAGGGCUUGAGUACAGGAGGGGAUGCCGGAAUUCCAGGUGUAGGGGUGAAAUCUGUAGAUAUCUGGAAGAACACCAAUGGCGAAGGCAGGCAUCUGGCCAUGUACUGACGCUGAGACGCGAAGGUGCGGGGAGCAAACAGGUUUAGAUACCCUGGUAGUCCGCACAGUAAACGAUGUGCACCAGGUGGCGGGGGGUCGACCCCCGGUACCGUAGCUAACGCAUUAAGUGCACCGCCUGGGGAGUAUGCUCGCAAGGGUGAAACUCAAAGGAAUUGACGGGGGCCCGCACAAGCGGUGGAGCAUGUGGUUUAAUUCGAUGGUACGCGAGGAACCUUACCAGGGCUUGACAUACGCCGGAAGCGCAUCGAAAGGUGCGUGCCGCUUGCGGCCGGCGUACAGGUGCUGCAUGGCU
rnacentral:rRNA from 1 species